rnacentral:lncRNA from 1 species
AGUGGAAGUCUUCUGUGUUGUUUUUCAAACAAGAUCAUGUGCGGGAGAAAACCAUUAAAAAGCAAAAAUAGAAAAAAGAGAAGAUGCUGUUUGAGGUCAAGAAAUGAAGAACUACAAACAUCAAGCAAAUUUCAGGCUACUAGGGAGCUCAAAGUCGAAGAGAAACUACAAUACUGAACAGGAAACCAGCUUCAAAGAGAAACCAUAGUAUUGUAGAGGCUCCUACAGCCUCUGUAUCUACACUUCUCAAAUGGCUGUAAAAGAAAUUUCUCCACUCCUUCUAAGAGUAUUCAUAUAAGGGAAGGGAGAAACCUUAAAAUGGUUUCAAGGUGACUAAGUAAUAAAAAUGAACAACUAAUCCACUAGAACUCACGUCUUUUUAAGCAAACAAGUAAACAAAAAAACCAACAAGAUAAUAAACAAUAAAAC